rnacentral:rRNA from 1 species
UACGGAGGGUGCAAGCGUUAUCCGGAUUUAUUGGGUUUAAAGGGUCCGUAGGCGGAUCUGUAAGUCAGUGGUGAAAUCCCACAGCUUAACUGUGAAACUGCCAUUGAUACUGCAGGUCUUGAGUAAGGUAGAAGUGGCUGGAAUAAGUAGUGUAGCGGUGAAAUGCAUAGAUAUUACUUAGAACACCAAUUGCGAAGGCAGGUCACUAUGUCUUAACUGACGCUGAUGGACGAAAGCGUGGGGAGCGAACAGG